UCCGGUAUGGUGUAACGGCUAACAUUGCCGCCUUUCAUUUGAAGUUGCGCGGCAGCUCGGGGUUCGAUUCCCCGUACCGGAG